rnacentral:rRNA from 1 species
GACGAACGCUGGCGGCGUGCUUAACACAUGCAAGUCGAACGGAAAGGCCUUUUCGGAGGUACUCGAGUGGCGAACGGGUGAGUAACACGUGGGUGAUCUGCCCUGCACUCUGGGAUAAGCCUGGGAAACUGGGUCUAAUACCGGAUAGGACCGCACUUUAGUGUGUGUGGUGGAAAGUUUUUUCGGUGUAGUAUGAGCCCGCGGCCUAUCAGCUUGUUGGUGGGGUAAUGGCCUACCAAGGCGGCGACGGGUAGCCGGACUGAGAGGUUGGUCGGCCACAUUGGGACUGAGAUACGGCACAGACUCCUACGGGAGGCAGCAGUGGGGAAUAUUGAACAAUGGGCGCAAGCCUGAUGCAGCGACGCCGCGUGGGGGAUGACGGCCUUCGGGUUGUAAACUCCCUUCGCAAGGGACGAAGCGUUUUGUGACGGUACCUGGAGAAGAAGCACCGGCUAACUACGUG